UACGAAGGGGGCUAGCGUUGUUCGGAAUUACUGGGCGUAAAGCGCGCGCAGGCGGCUAUCCAAGUCAGUGGUGAAAGCCCGGAGCUCAACUCCGGAACUGCCAUUGAAACUGUUUAGCUUGAGGACGAGAGAGGUGAGUGGAAUUCCCAGUGUAGAGGUGAAAUUCGUAGAUAUUGGGAAGAACACCGGUGGCGAAGGCGGCCCACUGGCUCGUUUCUGACGCUCAGGCGCGAUAGCGUGGGGAUCAAACAGG
rnacentral:rRNA from 1 species